GUGGGGAAUAUUGGACAAUGGGGGGAACCCUGAUCCAGCCAUGCCGCGUGUGUGAAGAAGGCCUUUUGGUUGUAAAGCACUUUAAGCGAGGAGGAGGCUACCGAGAUUAAUACUCUUGGAUAGUGGACGUUACUCGUAGAAUAAGCACCGGCUAACUCUGUGCCAGCAGCCGCGGUAAUACAGAGGGUGCAAGCGUUAAUCGGAUUUACUGGGCGUAAAGCGCGCGUAGGUGGCCAAUUAAGUCAAAUGUGAAAUCCCCGAGCUUAACUUGGGAAUUGCAUUCGAUACUGGUUGACUAGAGUAUGGGAGAGGAUAGUAGAAUUCCAGGUGUAGAGGUGAAAUGCGUAGAGAUCUGGAGGAAUACCGAUGGCGAAGGCAGCCAUCUGGCCUAAUACUGACACUGAGGUGCGAAAGCAUGGGGAGCAAACAGGAUUAGAAACCCGGGUAGUCC
rnacentral:rRNA from 1 species